rnacentral:miRNA from 1 species
UCAGAUCUAACUCUUCCAGUUCU